rnacentral:lncRNA from 1 species
CUGUUGUGUGUGCUUAAAAUGUAGAUUAUUACAAAGUAGCUCUAAUUUGAAAUUUUUUGCUGUUGACAGGUUUCCAUGUUGUCUGCUGUUGGAAGAACAUCUAUGAGGGACUGUGAAUAGAAUCUUUAUCUUCUGCUUAUAUACAACACUUACUCAUGGGCCAGUGGCACAAUUUCUAGCUGUACAAGGAUAUCAUGGUGUUUGAUAAGUUGAUGACAAUGAAACUAAUGACCAUGUUAACAUCAGAGGAAAAGCAAACUGGGAGAAGAAAGGACAACAUUGUUUUCGAUCUUGAAGGCCUGCGUAGACAUAGGACCAGGAAGGGGAGCUAGGAGUGGGAGAAGCGCCUGUGACUGAUAUAUGCACUAUCAGAUAGAAAUCCAGUUCAAAAGGAAAUCUGAAAUAGCAGAAAUCAUGACUUACAUACUGUGUAAUCUGCUCUAAAACACAAACAUUUGAAUUUAAAAUGUGUUAAAUGCAAAACAGUUCUACUUACAAAAUGAAUCUUUCAGUAAAUUCUAAAUGCAGCUGAAAAGUGAUAUACAUGAAAUGUGUGAAAACAGUGCAAGUUAAGUUUGAUUUUUUGUUGUAUACAAAACUGAAGAACUUUUAUCCAAUUCAUUUUCUGGAUGCACAGUGUUAUUGGAAUUUUUUUCAGAUAAUUUAAAAUUCUUCAAGAUGAAGAUAUUUCAAAUAGUAUCUCGAGAAAAAAAGUUUGCACAAUGAAUUGUUUUUCAAAAAUUUGCAGUUGUUUGUUCAUUGUUUUGCCAGUCCAUUACACUUAAACUUUACUUUAUUUAUUCUUAAUAUUUUUGUGAAUGGAUUAGAUUACUCAUUCACAAGGCAAAAUCAAGAAUUUGUUGGUUAAGGUUAAUGUUGUCUCAAGCUAAGUGAUGGGCAGACUUUAUCCAUUUGUAGUGAUUUUGAGAAUAAUUAAAAUAAUUUGUCACAUAAAUCAGUAUUAAAUGACCUGGCUGAAAGUUAUAUAUGAAAAAAAAUGUAUUUUGUUUAGAUUGUUCUACAUAGAACUUUUUUGCAAGAUUUUUUAUUAAAAUCAUUUUCGGAAACUGCAUAAAAGACGCCGCAAUUGGACCUUUAUAACUUUACUAUUUGAACUAUAAGAAUAGCUAUCCUACUCGAUACGGCAUUAGCUUUGCGUCACACCUUGGUUAAGUUUUUGGUACCAGUUUACAUUUUGGCAAAACCUUCGGGGAUAAAGGUUUGAAACUUUCAACACUUGUUAUCAUCACCAUAUCCAAUUUUAGGCAAGGGCACAUAACUCUAUCAAGGACUUUUGCUGAAUUAGGGUACCUUUUAUUUCCUACUAGUUCAUAUUUUGUGUAAACUGUUUGACAUAUGACAUUGAAACUUUUAUCACUUGAUUAUUAUUAUACCAUAGUCUGUAUCUGUAGGUAAGAGUACAUAACUCUUACAAGUAUUUUGGCUAAAUUAUGACUCUUUUUGGACUUGGAAAUUGGUACAAUUUCUUACCAGUCCAUGUUUUGUGAAAACUGUUUGAUGUGUGGCUUUGAAACUUUGAACACUUGUUUAUUUUAUGAUCGCCAUCUGUAAGUAAGUGUUCAUAACUCUGUCAACUAUUUUGGCUGAAUUAUGGCCUUUUUAGCUCAUCUGAUUUUUUGAAAAAAAAUUAUGAGUUAUUGUCAUCACUUGAGCGGUUGUCGGCGUCGGC